UACCCCCUAGCAAUGGGCAAGGAGACACCUGAUUAGUGGUGGCGUUCUUUUAUCCAUCGGGGGCAAAGCAGAUACACAGCCUUAGUUCAUCCUAGCUUGAUGCCUGUCUUGGUUUCAUGCCUGAGGCACAUUA